GAUGAAGAACGUAGCGAAAUGCGAUAAGUAAUGUGAAUUGCAGAAUUCAGUGAAUCAUCGAAUCUUUGAACGCACAUUGCGCCCCUUGGUAUUCCGGGGGGCAUGCCUGUUCGAGCGUCAUUUCAACCCUCAAGCUUCUGCUUGGUCUUGGGCCGUGCCGGCAACGGCUGGCCUUAAAACUAGUGGCGGUGCCAUCGAGCUCUACGCGUAGUAAUUCUAUCUCGCGUCUGGGCUUCGGUGGACGCUGGCCAGCAACCCCCAAUUUUCUAUGGUUGACCUCGGAUCAGGUAGGGAUACCCGCUGAACUUAAGCAUAUCAAAAGCGGAGGA
rnacentral:misc_RNA from 1 species